rnacentral:rRNA from 1 species
AUUGAACGCUGGCGGCAGGCUUAACACAUGCAAGUCGAGCGGAGAUGAGGUGCUUGCACCUUAUCUUAGCGGCGGACGGGUGAGUAAUGCUUAGGAAUCUGCCUAUUGGUGGGGGACAACAUUCCGAAAGGAAUGCUAAUACCGCAUACGCCCUACGGGGGAAAGCAGGGGAUCUUCGGACCUUGCGCUAAUAGAUGAGCCUAAGUCGGAUUAGCUAGUUGGUGGGGUAAAGGCCUACCAAGGCGACGAUCUGUAGCGGGUCUGAGAGGAUGAUCCGACACACUGGGAAUGAGACACGGCCCAGACUCCUACGGGAGGCAGCAGUGGGGAAUAUUGGACAAUGGGCGGAAGCCUGAUCCAGCCAUGCCGCGUGUGUGAAGAAGGCCUUUUGGUUGUAAAGCACUUUAAGCGAGGAGGAGGCUACCUGGAUUAAUACUCUAGGAUAGUGGACGUUACUCGCAGAAUAAGCACCGGCUAACUCUGUGCCAGCCGCCGCGGUAAUAC